rnacentral:pre_miRNA from 1 species
AUGUAGGGCAAUCUGUCUUUAAGUAGGGGUAAAUUUUUUAAAAAAAAUGAAUCCUAGAUCGUUUUCCCUUCAAGUCAAGCGUCUUGU